GAUGAACGCUGACAGAAUGCUUAACACAUGCAAGUCUACUUGAAUUUGGGUUUUUAACUUAGAUUUGGGUGGCGGACGGGUGAGUAACGCGUAAAGAACUUGCCUCACAGCUAGGGACAACAUUUAGAAAUGAAUGCUAAUACCUAAUAUUAUGAUAAUAGGGCAUCCUAUAAUUAUGAAAGCUAUAUGCGCUGUGAGAGAGCUUGCGUCCCAUUAGCUAGUUGGAGAGGUAACGGCUCACCAAGGCGAUGAUGGGUAGCCGGCCUGAGAGGGUGAUCGGCCACAAGGGGACUGAGACACGGCCCUUACUCCUACGGGAGGCAGCAGUGGGGAAUAUUGGACAAUGGACCGAGAGUCUGAUCCAGCAAUUCUGUGUGCACGAUGAAGUUUUUCGGAAUGUAAAGUGCUUUCAGUUGGGAAGAAAGAAAUGACGGUACCAACAGAAGAAGUGACGGCUAAAUACGUGCCAGCAGCCGCGGUAAUACGUAUGUCACGAGCGUUAUCCGGAUUUAUUGGGCGUAAAGCGCGUCUAGGUGGUUAUAUAAGUCUGAUGUGAAAAUGCAGGGCUCAACUCUGUAUUGCGUUGGAAACUGUAUAACUAGAGUACUGGAGAGGUAAGCGGAACUAUAAGUGUAGAGGUGAAAUUCGUAGAUAUUUGUAGGAAUGCCGAUGGGGAAGCCAGCUUACUGGACAGAUACUGACGCUGAAGCGCGAAAGCGUGGGUAGCAAACAGG
rnacentral:rRNA from 1 species